rnacentral:rRNA from 1 species
UGCGUAGGCGGUUAUCUAAGUAGGAUGUGAAAUGCCCCGGCUCAACCGGGGAACUGCGUUCUAAACUGGAUGGCUUGAGUGAGAUAGAGGUGUGCGGAACUUCCGGUGGAGCGGUGAAAUGUGUUGAUAUCGGAGGGAACACCGUUGGCGAAAGCGGCACACUGGGUCUUAACUGACGCUGAGGCACGAAAGCCGAGGGGAGACGAACG